rnacentral:tRNA from 1 species
GAUGGUGUAGCUCAGUGGUAGAGCGGUUGACUGUUAAUCAGCUGGUCAGUGGUUCGAAUCCACCCACCAUCGCCA